AUAGAUACCCUGGUAGUCCACGCCGUAAACGUUGGGCGCUAGAUGUGGGGACCAUUCCACGGUUUCCGCGUCGUAGCUAACGCAUUAAGCGCCCCGCCUGGGGAGUACGGCCGCAAGGCUAAAACUCAAAGGAAUUGACGGGGGCCCGCACAAGCGGCGGAGCAUGCGGAUUAAUUCGAUGCAACGCGAAGAACCUUACCAAGGCUUGACAUAUGCGAGAACGCUCUAGAAAUAGAGAACUCUUUGGACACUCGUAUACAGGUGGUGCAUGGUUGUCGUCAGCUCGUGUCGUGAGAUGUUGGGUUAAGUCCCGCAACGAGCGCAACCCUCGUCGCAUGUUGCCAGCACGUAAUGGUGGGAACUCAUGUGAGACUGCCGGGGUCAACUCGGAGGAAGGUGGGGAUGACGUCAAAUCAUCAUGCCCCUUAUGUCUUGGGCUUCACGCAUGCUACAAUGGCCGGUACAAAGGGCUGCGAAACCGCAAGGUGGAGCGAAUCCCAAAAAGCCGGUCUCAGUUCGGAUUGAGGU
rnacentral:rRNA from 1 species